UAUAUAUGACAGGGCGAGUCAAAUGGCGGCCGCCAGAUCAUUUUUAUCUGGCCCUCCAACUUGUUUUUGAGGUUUAAAAAUCCUCGCAAUCUGAUAUCAAAGUGCUCUCUGUGCAAAGGCUUAGCGCGUUCAUCAGUGGUGAGUUUAACAACACUCAACUGCAGGUAAAACAGCAUUCAGCGGUGAGUUUGACCAAAGCAACGCUCAACUGCAGGAAAAACGGCAUUAAAAGAUGUUUAUCGCUAUGAAAUCACGUUCAAGAAGUCUCAUUCAGCACACAUCGCGAUACUUGCCAUCAGUUUACAAGAGCCGCAGGUGGGGUGAGUAGUAGUAAA